rnacentral:lncRNA from 1 species
GUGUGCACUGUGGCCGUGCCUGAUGUGCUGAGGGACUCGUUUAGGAAUGCUGUCAUUUGGCUUGGGGAAGGGCCAGGCCUCUCUCUGCCCAUAGCAUUGAGGACAGAGGCACAGGUCUCCGUCACUGGGCUGACAGCUUCCAUUCUUCCAAAUCUCAUCUUCCGAGCUAGUCUGCCAUGGAUGAAGUGGGCAUGCAUGUGUUUUAUGCUUUGUACUUCUGCCUCCGUCCAUCUACAAUCCUAGCACUGAAACCACACUCCUCUGAACCACUGUGUGCACCGGCGAGGCCUUCUCAUGGAUGGUCGCAGUCAUUCUCAUUUCUGCGCAUGCUUCCUCCAGGCCAGGCUCACAGGUGGGCCUGCCGGGUGAUUCUGGAUCCUGUGAAGUUGACAGCUUACAUUAACCAUCACACGUAGCAUGCAAAAUCUGAUUUCUUAAUGGAAGAUACAGCACAAGAUCUGGGAGAAAUUUCAAUGUUGUGUAAAAGGAACACCGUAGAAGAACGAAGUCCUAUGAGGAGAAUUCUUUGUGAGAAAACCUGAGACUUGUGACCUCGGUUUCUUCAAAACAUGGACUUAUUCUUGGGAUGGUUUUGUGCUCCUCCCAGGUGUAGUGGAUGGAGUGGGUGGACUUCAGAUUACUCAUUAGUGCUUGCAGUUGUUGUUAAGUGUUUAGACAAUCCUUUCUAGUCCUCUAGAGAAAACCAUGGUUUUUACCACAUGGGGCUUGUUCUUGUGAUUUUAUACAGCACGAAACUCAUGAGAACUUUAUUCAUGUGAUUUUUCUUAACCCUCAGAGUAUAAAUUGUCCGAAGCCCUGAAUAGAGAUGAGCAUUGCAUGAGAUUGUAGCCUCCUUGUUUAUCGGCUCUAUUCUCCCACAUGUGAAGGUUAUCACGAUAAUCACAUCCACUCAGGCACCGAAAGACGAGUAUUACAUGCCUUCUGUCC